GCCAUUUCACAGCAAAACACUGCACAGACUGCAAGCACUAUCACCACUUCAAUUCAGUGAAGUGGUCAUGGGUCUUGGAGUAACCCUUUAAGGUAGGAUUCAGGGAGGCUAAGGUUUGGGAAGGGGCGAGUCUAUGUAGAAGGUCCAUAUGCGUUCCAGUGAUGAUGGUACACACCUACCAACCAUUCUACAUUCCUUGACCAGGCUAUAGUUCUGGCUUAUUUCC